CUACGGGCGGCACCAGGUAGGAAUCUUUUGCAAUGCGCGCAAGCGUGACAAAGCGAGCCAGAGUGUUUUACAAUGUAAAACUUUUGCUAAAUGUAAAAAGUUUGGCGAAUAAGGACUGGGUAAGACGAGUGCCAGCCGCCGCGGUAAUACUCGCGGUCCAAGUCGUAGCCAUCAUUAUUGGGUCUAAAACAUCCGUAGCUUGUUUAAUAAGUUCUUUGUGAAAUCUUGUCUCUCAAAGGCAAGGCGUGCAGGGAAUACUGUUAGGCUAGAGACUGGAAGACGUAAGAAGUAUGUUCAAAGUAACGGUAAAAUGUGUUAAUCUUGAGCAGACUCACAACAGCGAAGGCAUCUUACGAGGACAGUUCUGACAGUAAAGGAUGAAGGCUAGGGGCGCAAAACGGAUUAGAUACCCUCGUAGUC
rnacentral:rRNA from 1 species